AUACGGAGGGUGCAAGCGUUAUUCGGAAUCACUGGGCGUAAAGGACGCGUAGGCGGGUUGGCAAGUCAGAUGUGAAAUCCUACAGCUUAACUGUAGAACUGCAUUUGAAACUGCUAACCUAGAGUAUGGGAGGGGGAGAUGGAAUUAGUGGUGUAGGGGUAAAAUCCGUAGAUAUCACUAGGAAUACCGAAAGCGAAGGCUAUCUCCUGGAACAUAACUGACGCUAAGGCGUGAAAGCGUGGGGAGCAAACAGGAUUAGAAACCCUGGUAGUCC
rnacentral:rRNA from 1 species